CCAUGAAAAUUUGCAUUUACAACGUGUCUUUAGUUCAUGUGACACUAAGGCACGCGGUGAAUGCUGAAUUAAAUGGU
rnacentral:pre_miRNA from 1 species